CGAGGGCAUGCUGACAAUAAAUAGUUAUGAACCCCGCCAGGCCUGGAAGGGAGCAACGGUAAUAAUUCUUUUAUGUGUUGGAAUCUAUUCUCGGCG
rnacentral:SRP_RNA from 1 species